AUCGCGGCUUCGAGGAACUUACGAGGGUCGCCGACCUUAUCUUUGAACGGUUCGCCGCUCUUCACCACUGAGAUGAAGAACUUACGCAAACGAUCCCUGGGAUCAUCCCGUCCAGCGCCUCGUCCGCCGCGUCCUUCUUCGCCGCGUCCUUCUUCGCCGCGUCCUCGUCCGCCGCGUCCUCGUCCUCGACCUGCGGACAUCUUUUCCUCGGAACAACGAAAGGUGGCGGAGAUCGUUUUCUCGUAUCACGUCUCGCGCUGGCCUGAGCGUCGGUGGUCCUCGCUCGUGUGGUCGCGAAUCGAAUAUUUAGCGGCGAUUUUAACGGCGGCUUCUGAAUCACCAGCGCAAGAAGCCCUAAGAAUCCCUAAGCCCAUCACCAGCGCGACUCGAUCGGUAAUUCAAACAUUCGUAUGAUAAGUUAUCGUCCUUAUUAAGUGUUACCUUCGUAUUAGGUUUAUUUAUUUACUGCGUGCUUACUAAAAAUUACCUUCGUAUCAAGCCUUGCGUCCAGUUCCCUAAUCUUUUCUUGAAGCCGAAAAAUAAUGGGGUCUGUAGAACUUUUUAUAACCUCGUUUGAUCGUUCCCCUGGUUGGUCAUCGCUUCGCUUACGCAUCGCGUCCGCUUGAGCUCUCAUUGCAAAGUUUGGAGCAAGAUCAAGUGAUGCCAACUUUGCUCCCGUCAGUGGUGAUGUGUCGUGUGUCUCAAACCAUCGUUCAAUGUGUUCGCGUUCAUAUGUUAUACCGUCGCCACAACAAAACACGGGAUCUUUAAACAGAUCGUAGCCGAUAGGACAAGUGACAUGUUUGAGACGCUCUUCAUCAAUGACAUUUUCAGCGAACUUCUUGACGGCCUUCACAGCACCUUUAGACAUCUUCAUUGGAGCCAUCGCGAGGAGGAGAGUAACGUGGCGGAGUAAAGUUGCGGGUAGGUAGUGGUGGUUCUUGAACUGGCAGAUCUUCAACUGGUGGACCGAAUGGCUGAAGUCGACGCCGUUCAACUGGCAGUUCUUGAACUGGCGGUUCUUGAACUGGCGGUUCUUGCACUGGCGGUUCUUGAACUUGUGGAGCUUCUAUCCAGAGGGGAGCACCUAGCACGCCCCGGUGGUUGACCGGAUCUGGACGUUGAACUUGGUUGAGCGGAUACGGGGUUCCGCGAUCUAUAACACGGCGUAGUUCCCGAACCCCUCUGCUGGUAUUCUGGAUUGUAGAAAAUCGUUCGUCGGCCCUUCGUCGCUGACACCUUUGGCAGUAAACUUGGAAAGUAACACUCACAGCGAUCGCUAAGACGACGACCAAUGCUUCCACUACCCAGGUCGGUCCCAUCCGCGGGUCAGUUUAUGAGACACACGGCAAGCCUG
rnacentral:lncRNA from 1 species